rnacentral:rRNA from 1 species
AACGAACGUUGGCGGCGUGGAUUAGGCAUGCAAGUCGAACGAAUCCCAGUUUUGUAGCAAUACCGAGCUGGGGGAAGUGGCGAAAGGGGCAGUAAUGCGUGGGUAACCUACCCUGGGGACGGGGAUAGCCUUCCUAACGGAAGGGUAAUACCUGGCGAUUCGGCGAGAGGACAUCCUCUUGCCGGGAAAUGAGUUUCGCCUCGGGAGGGGCUCACGUCGUAUUAGCUUGUUGGUGAGGUAACGGCUCACCAAGGCAAAGAUGCGUAGCGGGUGUGAGAGCACGACCCGCGCCACUGGCACUGAGACACUGGCCAGACACCUACGGGAGGCAG